AUCUCGUCGCAAUGGUAAUUGAGCUUAGUACGAGAGGAACCGCUCAUUCAGAUAAUUGGUUUUUGCGGCUGUCCGACCGGGCAGUGCCGCGAAGCUACCAUCUGCCGGAUAAUGGCUGAACGCCUCUAAGUCAGAAUCCGUGCCAGAAAGCGACGACGCCUCCCGCACGUAUAGAUGGACACGAAUAGGCCUCUGGCUUAGCGUCUUAGCAGGCAAAGAACGCCAACGCUCUGGAAACGGGUGUUGGUACUUUGCGAAUUGUAAUUUCAGCACGAGCGGGGUCGAAUCCCUUGCAGACGACUUUGAUGUGCGAAAGGGUCCUGUAAGCAGUAGAGUAGCCUUGUUGUUACGAUCUGCUGAGGGUAAGCCCUACUUCGCCUCGAUUU
rnacentral:ncRNA from 2 species